rnacentral:rRNA from 1 species
UACGGGGGGGGCAAGCGUUGUUCGGAAUUACUGGGCGUAAAGGGCGCGUAGGCGGCCAGCACAAGUCAGUUGUGAAAUCUCCGGGCUUAACUCGGAAAGGUCAACUGAUACUGUGCGGCUAGAGUGCAGAAGGGGCAACUGGAAUUCUCGGUGUAGCGGUGAAAUGCGUAGAUAUCGAGAGGAACACCUGCGGCGAAGGCGGGUUGCUGGGCUGACACUGACGCUGAUGCGCGAAAGCCAGGGGAGCGAACAGG